CGAAUCACAUCGUAAUAGAGAUAAUAUUUCAGUAAUAAGUGUGUGUAAUUAUAUUUUUUGAACAUUGCAUACUGCUAAAACAUUAAUUUGCUGCAGAGUGUUUUACAGAUCUAAAAUAAUUAUUUCUCUUCUUCGACAUGAUGAUAGUGCUAAAACUAUUAUUAAGUAGCGGAUUAAUUUUUAUUGCUGUAACGGCUUUCAUUCGUAAUGAAUCUUUAUGCUAUCGAAUAUCAGAAUAUAUAAAACCGAUGCAUUACGAUAUCAAGCUUACAUCAUUUAUUGAAGCAAAAAUUUUCCAUGGAGAAUACAAUAUCAGCAUAAACAUUCUUCACAAAACGCAACAUAUAUAUUUAUAUUCGGAAAAAUUAUGUAUUGACAAUAUAGUUUUAAUUACAAAUUUCAAAAAAUAUCAUGAGAAUGAUAAUGAUAUAGUUUAUAAACCGACGUAUAAUACUGAAGAAGAUACAGUUGAUAUUUUCUUUAUGGAUGAGUUAUCACCAGGAAAUUACACUUUAAAUAUAAAAUAUUUUGGCAUUGCUGAUAAAGGGUUCAGAAUUUUCGACGUGCAAAAAAAAGCUACUUGGGUAGGUGCUCCACAUUUUCAGAUAGUAGACGCCCGAUAAGUGUUUCCAUGUUGGCAUACACAUGAUUUACGGUUAGAAGCAACCUUUAACAUUUCUUUAGCAUGUCAUAACUGCACGACUUUGUCAAAUAUGCCAUUGCGAAAUACAAAAAGAGAUGAGUACAAUUUAGUAUGGAGACACUACGAUACCAUACCUGUAAUGUUGACUCAUCACGCAACGAUGGUUAUAUCUAACUACCUAUUCCUUCUUGAUAUAAAAACACAAAACAUUCAAAUGUGGUGCAGAUUUGAAUCUCUAUUUCACUUGGAAUUUGCUAAAAAUGUAGCUGAAGGUAUCACGUUGUCUUUUAAAAGUAAAUGGAAACGUUCGGACAAAAUUUCGAACGUGACUCAUGUUGCAAUUCCAAAUUUCCAUGACGAUGACACAAUAGUUUUUGGACUUGUGUUUUAAAAGGAAACAGAUAUCAUCUACGAUAAAAAUGUAUAUCCUAUUGCUCACAAGAUCGAAGUAGCUCAAUUAGUAGGACGAAAAGUGGCACAGCAAUGGUUUAAUAACAUGAUGAAUAAUCCGUUAGUAUCAGAUUUUUGGUUUAAACAAGGUUUUACUACAUUGUUUGCAACGUAUGCUGUCAAUAAGGUUAUUCUAAAUAUUUUCAA